rnacentral:lncRNA from 1 species
GUUAGUUGUGGGCGGGGCCCCAAACGACAGCUUGGUCCACUAAUCGCAAAAGCAAUUAAUUUUAUUUUCUUAAACAAACAAAGAAAAAUAUAUAGAAAAUUGGUAAAUAUAUAACAUACAAAUAUGAAUUGAUUAAAAAUUAAGUUUGUUUUAUUCUUAAUAACUUCGCUGGCACAUGGCAUUAAAUUUCACGCGGGAAGUGGCCUAUUUGAGGCCUACUCGAUUAUUUAGUUAGCAUUUAGGCACAAAGACACAAAUUUAUAUCAUAGUCGGAUAAAUGUUGAAGUAAGAAGAUGAAAUUACCAAAAAAUGACGCUUUCUUCAGUUUCACUGUGGAAAGACCGCGAAGUGAAGUAUACACGCCGUGGUUUCUGUGGAUGGCCCGCGUGUCUUCAGCAGCGGCAGAAUCCUCUGAGGAACUGGCCUGACUCAUCUGCAUCUGUGACAGGUCAUGUCCAUGAGCUGGAGUGGAUAACCCAAAGCGCCCAAACCGGCCCACUAACACUCAAAUCCAUGUUUAAAGAUGCUGUCAGGAAAGGAAAUGCAUGGAAAAGUUGCUACCAGACUGGCAUUGUUUCUGGAGCUUAUGAUGCAGACA